rnacentral:misc_RNA from 1 species
AGACGACCUAGCUCUCGGUCGGGGUGUCGUACUUAGUAGAGCAGCCACCACACUGCGAUCUAUUGAGACUAAGCCUUUCGACUAGGAGAUUUGUUCCGCACUAGACGGGCAAUACUCUCCGCUGUUGUUGAUCUUUCAAAGACACUGACACUGAGUCGGCCGUACACACACGGCGAGCGACGAGAGCGCUUCGUUACUUGUUGCUUUUUGAUUUAUUUCUUUUCUAUGUAUAUGUGUGGGGGAACUUUUUUUCAAUUUUAUUUUUUUCAACUGUACCCACGUGAGAAAAAAAAGUUUCUGUACUUUGAAAAAAAAGCAAGAAAAAAGAAGGGAAACGCUGCGGCGAAAGGCUUCGGCGACGAUCCGGCUGCUAACGGGCGAACUGUCGGCUCGAGCAGGAGCCGGCUGCUUUCGGCUUCUCUUCUUUCUAUGUCCGAGAAAAGAGAAGGGGAACACUGCGGCGAAAGGCUUAGACGACGAGCCGGCUGCUUUCCGCCGACUUGUUGGCUUGUAUUCUUUCUAUGUUCGAAAAUACAGUUGCCUCAGUGGUCAAAGGGGAAUUACUCUUACUUUCCUUGUAGUAAAGUGGUGGUACCCACGUGGGAGAAAGUGACCCUUUUCGGACUCGUACCCACGUGGGAGAUAGUGACCCUUUUCGCACUCGUACCCACGUGGGAGAUAGUGACCCUUUUCGCACUCGUACCCACGUUGGAGAAAGUUACCCUUUCGGACUUAGUCAUUUUUCGAGAGAAAAGAAGGGGAAUCGUUGCGACGAAGGGUGUCGGCCGUGAGCCCGGCUGAUUUCGGCCGUGUGGACGCUCGAGCAUUUCCCGUUCUCGGUGGGCACUGGAAGGUACCCACGUCAGAGAAAGUAAGCUUUUCGGACUUAGUCAUUUUUCGAGAGAAAAGAAGGGGAAUCGUUGCGACGGGCUGUGUUCCGCGUAGGCCCGGCUGAUUUCGGCCGUGUGGACGGUCGAGCAUCUCCCGUUCUCGGUGGGCACUGGAAGGUACCCACGUUAGAGAAAGUUACCUUUUCGUACUUUGUCAUUUUUCGAGAGAAAAGAAGGGGAACGGCUGCGACGAAGGGUGUCGGCCGUGAGCCCGGCUGAUUUCGGCCGUCCGGACGCUCGAGCAUUUCCCGUUCUUGGUGGACACUGGAUGGUACCCACGUGGGAGAAACGUACAUACUUUGCCAUUUUUCUGGAGAUGAAAAAUGCGCAAUUUUGCCGAUUGCCACCGGCACAGGCCAGGUGGGGGACGGGACCCGGCACGGUCUGAUGCGACUUGCCGAGACCUUUCCAACGCGCCCUCGAUCACGGAGCUGGCCCGCUCCGUUCUCGCUCGGCACCCGAAAGACAUCCGUUUUCGCGACCGGGACCCCCGUUCGAGCCCGCCGCGGGGCCGUCCGACAUCGCAGCCGGGUGAUCUAGGGCGCGAUCGAACCGUCCCACUGCCGAGCUUGCGGCAGACGCCCUCCCGUCCGGCUGUGGUCAAGAAUGCGCUUUUUUGCCGAUUGUCACCGGUUUUCGCGAGGUGGGGGGCGGGGCUUGGCACGGUCCGAUCCGACUCGCCGAGACCUUUCCAACGCGCCCUCGAUCACCGAGCUGGCCCGCUCCGUUCUCGCUCGGCACCCGAAAGACCACCCGGCUCGGGCCGAUUCGUUGUCCGCCGCUUCUCGCCGGGGAGAAAGAAGGAAAGCCUAACCCUUACCCCAACCCUAACGUCUCUACGGGUGGAAAGCGACCCUAACCUAACCCUAACCCUAACCCUUUCUCUACGGGUAAAAAGCUGGGAAGCGACCCUAACCCUACCCUAGGCAAUGGCUACGGUUACGCUCCUCGAUGAGUUGAGCUUCUCUCGGUUUUUCGUAAGCCGGAUUCGGCUUACCAUAAGCCGUAUUUUGCAUACGCGGACAUAUGCCGUAAGCCUCUUUGGGCUUACCAUUGAAAUUGACCAUUACGUGAAAAUUAUGCUAGAAAAGACUUGAUUGAAGUUAUAACGAUCAUGUAGGGUGAUCUCUUGGCCAUCCCUACCGUCGUGUUCGCUUCGGUAGGGGUCGUCGGUACCCACGCGCAAAAAAAAUGAAACAAUAAGUUCGUCGGUACCCACGUUCGAAUCGCAAGAUCUAUAUAUAUAGGGGGACGGUCUGAGGUGGCCGAGAAUUUUCCGUUCUUUUUCUCACCCCCUUUCUUUGGCAGGCUGUCUCGCAGCUCGGGCUGAUGGGUUGCCCCUUCUCUCCGGGGAGUAAGAAGGCAGGCUACGGGCUGAAUGCUUUCCGCUUCUCGGCGGGCGGAGAGACGGGAGACGACGAGUCGCCGGCCGGCCGUACGCCCGCGAAGCUCGGGCUGAUCGGUUUUCCCCUUGUCUCCGGCGGGAAAGAAGCGAAGCGAAGGCUCGCCGGCCGAGAGACAAUGUAGGCUGACCGGUCUCCCCUUCUGUCCGGGCAGAAAGAAGGGAGGCUACGGGCCGGAGCUCGGGCUGAAUGUUUUCCGCUCCUCGGCGGGCGGAAAGAAGGGAGGGAGGCGAUGAGUCGCCCGCGAGCUCGGGCUGAUGGGUUGCCCCUUCUCUCCGGCGAGAAAGAAGGGGAGGCUACGGGCUGAAUGUUUUCCGCUCCUCGGCGGGCAGAAAGAAAGAAGGCAGGCAGGCAGGCAGGCAGGCAGGGCAGGCAGGCAGGGCAGGCAGGCAGGCAGGCAGGCAGGCAGGCAGGCAGGCAGGCAGGCAGGCAGGCAGGCAGGCAGGCAGGCAGGCAGGCGAUGAGUCGCCCGCGAAGCUCGGGCUGAUCGGUUUUCCCCUUGUCUCCGGGGAGAAAGAAGGGAGGCGAAGGCUCGCCGGCCGAGAGACAAGGGACGCUGACCGGUUUCCCCUGCUGUCCGGGCAGAAAGCUGGAGCGCGAAGGCUCGGCGGCCGGGAAGGAGGGGAAGCGCCCGUACGGCCGCGGAGCUCGGGCUGAAUGCUUUCCGCUUCUCGGCGGGCGGAGAGAAGGGAGGCGAUGAGUCGCCGGCCGGCCGUACGCCCGCGAAGCUCGGGCUGAUCUGUUUACCCCUUGUCUCCGGGGAGAACGAAGCGAAGCGAGGGCUCGCCGGCCGAGAGACAAGGCAGGCUGACCGGUUUCCCCUUCUGUCCGGGCAGAAAGCCUGAGCGCGAAGGCUAGGCGGCCGGGAAGGAAGGGAGGGAGGCCGCGAAGCUCGGGCUGAUGGUUUGCCCCUUCUCUCCGGGGAGAAAGAAGGGAGGCUACGGGCCGGAGCUCGGGCUGAAUGUUUUUCCCGCUUCUCGGCGGGCAGAAAGAAGGGAGGCAGGCGUUGAGUCGCCCGCAAAGCUCGGGCUGAUCGGUUUUCCCCUUGUCUCCGGGGAGAAAGAAGGCAGGCGAAGGGUCGCCGGCCGGGAGACAAGGGGGGCUGACCGGUUUCCCCUUCUGUCCGGGCAGAAAGCUGGAGAGCGAAGGCUCGCCGGCCGGCCGAAAAACAGGCGGGCGACCGCUCGCGGCCGGACUUCUCGAUACCUGCGGAAAGUACGGCCGAAGCGGCGCCGUCGUUGGCUUCCGUAGGGGUCGUCGGUACCCGCGCGCAAAAAAAUUGAAAAAAUAAGUUGGUCGGUACCCACGUUCGAAUCGCAAGAUCUAUAUAUGUAGGGGGACGGUCUGAGGUGGCCGAGAAUUUUCCUUUCUUUUUCUCGCCCCCUUUCUUCGGCAGGCUGUCUCGCAGCUCGGGCUGAUGGGUUGCCCCUUCUCUCCGGGGAGUAAGAAGGCAGGCUACGGGCGGGAGCUCGGGCUGAAUGCUUUCCGCUUCUCGGCGGGCGGAGAGACGGGAGACGACGAGUCGCCGGCCGGCCGUACGCCCGCGAAGCUCGGGCUGAUCUGUUUUCCCCUUGUCUCCGGGGAGAAAGAAGCGAAGCGAAGGCUCGCCGGCCGAGAGACAAGGCAGGCUGACCGUGUUCCCCUUCUGUCCGGGCAGAAGGCCGGAGCGCGAAGGCUAGGCGGCCGGGAAGGAAGGAAGGGAGGGAGGCGCAGAGUCCGCGUACGGCCGCGGAGCUCGGACUGAUGGGUUGCCCCCUUCUCUCCGGGGAGAAAGAAGGGAGGCCACGGGCCGGAGCUCGGGCUGAAUGUUUUUCCGCUUCUCGGCGGGCAGAAAGAAGGGAGGCAGGCGAUGAGUCGCCGGCCGGCCCUAAGCCCGCGAAGCUCGGGCUGAUCGGUUUUCCCCUUCCCUCCGGGGAGAAAGAAGGGAGGCGAAGGGUCGCCGGCCCUGAGACAAGGGAGGCUGACUGGUUUCCCCUUCUGUCCGGGCAGAAAGCCGGAGCGCGAGGGCUCGGCGGCCGGGAAGGUAUGGAAGCGCCGGGUCCGCGUACGGCCGCGGAGCUCGGGCUGAUGGGUUGCCCCUUCUCUCCGGGGAGAAAGAAGGGAGGCUACGGGCCGGAGCUCGGGCUGAAUGUUUUCCGCUUCUCGGCGGGCUGAAAGAAGGGAGGCGAUAAGUCGCCGGCCGGCAGUACGGCCGCGGAGCUCGGGCUGAUGGGUUGCCCCUUCUCUCCGGGGAGAAAGAAGGGAGGCUACGGGCCGGAGCUCGGGCUGAAUGUUUUCCGCUUCUCGGCGGGCUGAAAGAAGGGAGGCGAUGAGUCGCCGGCCGGCAGUACGCCCGCGAAGCUCGGGCUGAUCGGUUUUCCCCUUGUCUCCGGCGAGAAAGAAGGCAGGCGAAGGGUCGCCGGCCGGGAGACAAGGGGGGCUGACCGGUUUCCCCUUCUGUCCGGGCAGAAAGCUGGAGAGCGAAGGCUCGCCGGCCGGCCGAAAAACAGGCGGGCGACCGCUCGCGGCCGGACUUCUCGAUACCUGCGGAAAGUACGGCCGAAGCGGCGCCGUCGUUGGCCUCCUAGUAGGGGUCGUCGGUACCCACGCGCAUAAAAUAGUGACUCCUAGGUCGCUACCCACGUCCGAAUCGCAAGAUCUAUAUAUGUGAGAGGGUGAUGGUGUCCGUGUCGGGAAGGAAGGGGGCAGCACGCAAGUAGCCCGGUUCUGCGCGAUAUACUGGCAGGGCCGACGUGAAAGCGAGCUCCUGUGAAGUACCGUUCCAGCGCACCACCGCCUAAACUCGCGUCUCCGUGGACUGGGGGUGAUGAGUGUCCGUGCUCGGCAAUGGGAGUGAGCAAGCCCGCAAGUAGCCCGGUUCUGUCGAUAUACUGGCAGGGUCGACGUGAAAGCGAGUGAGUUCGCGCAGGCACCUACCGUUCCAGCGCACCCACCGCCUCUUUUACGUUCACGGGGAGUCUUUUUGGCACUGGCAUCUUUGACGCUGAGCUAGCUGUCGACGUAGGGCCCCUCGACCCACGCUCUCUUCCACGAAGAAGGCACCGGGUAGGGUCCGUCGUCCAGUCGGUAGUGGCCGGGAUGUUGGACGGGCGUGGAAAGACGGUCCUGCUGUCUAGUACUGCCCGCCUCAUCUGCGGUCCCAGCGCACGCAGUACGGCUACCGCGUAGUCGAACGAGAGAGUUCAUACUCCCGUAGUAGGGUCUCGAGAAGGCAUCGAGUGGGUCAUUGCUCACGGCUGCUGUUACGGAGCCUGGCAUGUCCUGCGAGUCGAGCCCGGGCACGUUCCCGGUUGUUCGGCGGCGAUCAAACUCGAAGCUGCGGCGGCGGAAGAAAAGCGGACGCGAUCGAUGUGCCUCGGCGCAUUCGCCCCGCUGCCGUCGCAGACGUGGCCCAGGCGUGGCCCCCGCAGGUUGGACCGGCGUGUCGCACCCCCCAAGCCGAAGAAAUAUGUAGGGGAGAAAGGGGUGUCGUCCGCUCGCGUCUGGCCCGCCGGGGGUAGUCGGCGUGGAACAUGGCUUUCGGCCGGAUCGGCGCGUACCACGAUCUGCUUCUGGACAUGACCGGUUGCGGUGACCGAUGUGGCGUCGUCCGUCGAGAGUCCUUCCUCGCUGCCCGCGCUCUGCCGCCUGUAAUGGAGAGAACCACCGAAUCUGCACCACCGCUCUCCGCUCUCCCCUUCGUCGUACGUACGUCGGGUCGAGAGCAACCUCACAAUAGGGUGGACCGCAGUAGGCAUCGUAUCGCACGAUAUGGCGCACCCGGGCGGCUCGCCGCUCCGGAGAAAGACGCCGGUUGGUUAGUAGGCCGCGGUUAGCGGCAGCCUUACGCGCUGCCGCGAUGCCGUUCGCUCCGAAAGCCGCCGGCGGGCGAGACAGAGGCCCCACCCUUCUGGAAAGGGGCCCCUCUGCUCUCACCGUAGUAG